rnacentral:rRNA from 1 species
UACGUAGGGGGCAAGCGUUGUCCGGAUUUAUUGGGCGUAAAGAGCGUGUAGGCGGCCUGACAGGUCUGCUGUGAAAACUCGAGGCUCAACCUCGAGAUGUCGGCGGAAACCGUCUGGCUAGAGUCCGGAAGAGGAGAGUGGAAUUCCUGGUGUAGCGGUGAAAUGCGCAGAUAUCAGGAAGAACACCUAUGGCGAAGGCAGCUCUCUGGGACGGUACUGACGCUGAGACGCGAAAGCGUGGGGAGCGAUCCGG